UACGAACCGGCCAAACGUUAUUCGGAAUCAUUGGGCUUAAAGAGUGCGUAGGCGGCGCCGUAAGUCGGGUGUGAAAUCCCUCGGCUCAACCGAGGAACUGCGCCCGAUACUGCGGCGCUCGAGGGAGACAGGGGUGAGCGGAACUGAUGGUGGAGCGGUGAAAUGCGUUGAUAUCAUCAGGAACACCGGUGGCGAAAGCGGCUCACUGGGUCUCUGCUGACGCUGAGGCACGAAAGAUAGGGUAGCGAACGGG
rnacentral:rRNA from 1 species